GAAAUGCGAUAAGUAGUGUGAAUUGCAGAAUUCCGUGAAUCAUCGAAUCUUUGAACGCACAUUGCGCCUCCUGGCAUUCCAGGGGGCAUGCCUGUUCGAGCGUCAUUAAAAAGCCUUCAGGCGAGCUUGGCUCGCCUGGUCCUGAGGGAAUGGUCACCUUCCGGUUGCCCAUCCCCCGAAAUCAAACGGCAGACGACCACCGGUGGAACUGCUGGCGUAGUGAGCAAUUCUUUCGCCAGUGGCCACCGAGGGACAGUCUUGCCGGUUUAACCCCCACAUCCAACGGUUGACCUCGGAUCAGGUAGGGAUACCCGCUGAACUUAA
rnacentral:misc_RNA from 1 species